UGCUGCUUGGUGUAGGAGUAACAUCUCCAUCUCUGGUGCGGAGGAGAGGGGUUCAAGUCCCUUGGCAGUUG